rnacentral:rRNA from 1 species
AUUGCCCUAGUAACGGCGAGUGAAGCGGCAACAGCUCAAAUUUGAAAUCUGGCGUCUUUGGCGUCCGAGUUGUAAUUUGCAGAGGGCGCUUUGGCAUUGGCAGCGGUCCAAGUUCCUUGGAACAGGACGUCACAGAGGGUGAGAAUCCCGUACGUGGUCGCUAGCCUUUACCGUGUAAAGCCCCUUCGACGAGUCGAGUUGUUUGGGAAUGCAGCUCUAAAUGGGAGGUAAAUUUCUUCUAAAGCUAAAUACUGGCCAGAGACCGAUAGCGCACAAGUAGAGUGAUCGAAAGAUGAAAAGCACUUUGGAAAGAGAGUUAAAAAGCACGUGAAAUUGUUGAAAGGGAAGCGCUUGCAGCCAGACUUGCCUGUAGUUGCUCAUCCGGGUUUCUACCCGGUGCACUCUUCUAUAGGCAGGCCAGCAUCAGUUUGGGCGGUUGGAUAAAGGUCUCUGUCAUGUACCUCCUUUCGGGGAGAACUUAUAGGGGAGACGACAUGCAACCAGCCUGGACUGAGGUCCGCGCAUCUGCUAGGAUGCUGGCGUAAUGGCUGUAAGCGGCCCGUCUUGAAACACGGACCAAGGAGUCUAACAUCUAUGCGAGUGUUUGGGUGUCAAGCCCGAGCGCGUAAUGAAAGUGAACGGAGGUGGGAACCUUUCGGGGUGCACCAUCGACCGAUCCUGAUGUCUUCGGAUGGAUUUGAGUAAGAGCAUAGCUGUUGGGACCCGAAAGAUGGUGAACUAUGCUUGAAUAGGGUGAAGCCAGAGGAAACUCUGGUGGAGGCUCGCAGCGGUUCUGACGUGCAAAUCGAUCGUCAAAUUUGGGCAUAGGGGCGAAAGACUAAUCGAA